GCAUUCUAUAGGGGUACAAUCCUUAAAGAUCAACUUAAGUACUAAUCCAAUUUUAUGUACCCCUAUGUAAUUCGUGCAUUACUGCUUGUCACCAUGAAUAUUAUAUA
rnacentral:ncRNA from 1 species